rnacentral:lncRNA from 1 species
GGCCUUACGGGUCUGGGGCGCUUUCCCGAGUCCUUUGUAAGGGAGGAGGCCACGUGGAGCCUCUUUUCCCACCGUUUUUCGGCACUUCUUCUCUUCUUUCAGCUCACUCCCCUUGGCGGGUGUUUCUACCCGAAUAGCAGACCCACCCACAUGAGCGCUGUCUUCACUCCGGACCAUGGCAUCUGCCGUGGAAUAUUUUAUAUUCUCUGAAGACGGAAAGGGAAGCAGCGGCCCCACGUCCCCUCGCUGUUUUCUGUGCUUCAAUCCGCGUCUGUCUCCGCGUCUCGCUCGUGGGUGAGGUGAGAAAACUUGAAACAACUGUGGAGGCUGUUCUCCUAGGCUCUUGCAGGUAUGUGUCAAAUACCUUAGAGAUGCUUAAUUUCUGCUAAGAAUUCUGAGUGUUUCUACUCCUUAUCUAGAUGUUUUUAUAAAAGAUACCUUAAAGUUGUUAAACUCAUUUAAAAAUUAGUUUCAGGUGGAUUAAGAGGCUCUUCUUAGAGACCAGUAAAUAGUUGGAUCUGGAACUUGAACUCCCAAAUUCCAAGAAGCUGGACCAUCAUCAACUGUUAGCAGAUACUGCAGGUUAGUGUGUGACUUCUUUUUUUGUUGUCCAUAUUAUAGUCUCUAUUUUUCUGAGUAAUACAUUCACUCGGAAAAGUUUUGUGAUGAUGAAUUGGAAACAUAUUCUCUUGGAAUAUCAUUUCUCCAUCUCACCAGUGGUUCCAUCCUUCACUGUUUAGUUCCGAUAGUUUUCUUUGAAGAUAUAUUUCAAUUUUAACUUUUCCCUUUGCAAUUCCAGGAAGAUGCGUUUCCCAUACAUAGGAUAUCCUAUUUAUUCUCACUAUCUCAAUUAUUCUGCAAUCAAUUUUAUCAUUUUUUUUCACAUUCCUGGUGAGUAAUUUCCUGAACACUUUCCUGUAUAUCUCCUAUGUGCUUUAUAUAAUGUUUAUUCUUUUUUGUUUGUUUUUUCUAAUGCAGCUUCUUUCUUUGAAUUUUAUUUUUUCUCUAUAUUGGAUUCUGUACACAAAUGGUCUAUUCAUUCUUUGAAGCUGUGAGGAUUUUUCUAUCUGAAUUCAGUCCAUUUUCUCAGACCAUACUUAAGUUAGUAUUCUUUACUUACUGAUUUGUAUGAUAAGGCAAAUACUAUUUUUAAAGGUAAUAUUUAUUUACAGAGUAGGGUCUAGAAACCAUGGAGAAGCUUAGAAUUUUGAUGUCUAGAACAUUGUUCUGCUAAGUAAUAAGACUGCACAGACCUUCAAGAUAAAUAAACAUUACAACAGAAUUUUUUAUUAAGCUGUCUACAGAUUUUUAUUCUUGUGUGUAAUUCUUAUCCUUGUUUUUAAUUCAUACCGUCUUAAAUUAUUCUUAAUGCAAUACAAACUCCAUAUUUAUAAACAGAGAUCUUUGCUAAUUCAUCUCUGAUUUAGAAUCUUUCCAAUGAUAAUUACCAUAAAAUAACCUUAUUUUUUCCUGUCCUACUUUUUCC